rnacentral:rRNA from 1 species
UACGUAGGGGUCUAGCGUUGUCCGGAAUUAUUGGGCGUAAAGAGCUCGUAGGCGGUUCGGCAAGUCGGAUGUGAAAUCUCCACGCUUAACGUGGAGGGGCCAUUCGAAACUGCCGUGACUCGAGUCCGGUAGGGGAGUGCGGAAUUCCCGGUGUAGCGGUGAAAUGCGUAGAUAUCCGGAGGAACACCGGUGGCGAAGGCGGCAUUCUGGACCGAUAUUGACGCUGAGGAGCGAAAGCCAGGGGAGCAAACGGG